ensembl:lncRNA
CAUAUUUCUAUUUUUUCCACAAGGAUUCCACACCCUGAUCCAAGCUGGACACUCUGCUCUGCCCCGGAGGCCUCAGCAAUCCCUGGAUCAGGAGGGAGGGGGAUCCAAGGAAUCUCUUGAAUUCCAGAAUUUACCAUCCCAGAAUUUACCCAACUCCCUGGAAAUAACUGAAUUUCCUUCUGAUUCCAAGAGAAACAAUGGAAAAUGUCGAUAUGUUGGUGCUGGAGUCCAAAAUCAGCUUUUCAAGCACGGGGACAUUCAGGAAUAUUCUGUCCAAAAUAAAAAAAAGGGGGAAUUAUGGAGAGACACAAAGAAAUGGAUUUUAUCCUCCAAAAGAAAUUGUUUUCCCUGAUCCAUCUUUUUUUUUGUGUGUGGUUUCUCUGGUGCUUGAUAAUCCCUUGGAGUAAUUUACAUUAAUCCAAAAUUCUCCUUCACUGCCAGCCAUGGAAUUUUGGGGGAAUUGAAUAUCUUGGAAAUUUCUGUCAGGAUCUUCCAAAUUAUCAAAUUUCCAUGGAUAAAGCCCACAAAAGCGAUGGAACUGGGAUAUUCCUCAAGGAUAAAGGGAUUUAGAGUGUCAGGAAAAGUCCUUGGAAGGAGAGGAAUGGUUUUUUAAGUGCCUGGAGGAAAAACCAGUAGGAAACAAACCAGGAUCCUUUAUUUUUCCACAAAACAACCCCUGCCUUACAAGCACGGCUGUAAUUGUAUCUUGAACAUGCAGUGCAAACAAAAACUCGUUAACACCUGCACUAAUGAAUCCCAGGAAGGCUCUGGAGUAUUCCAGCUGCACUUGGAAAGACACGGAUCCUGCUCCUCGUUGAUUUGUGUCACACAACCAGGACAAACCCUCUGGAUCACACAGGGACUCCUCAUCCACCCAGAGAUCCAAGAGGAGAAACGAUCUCCCAGCUUAAGGAAACUCCUCAAAAGGAACAAAGAUUUUCCAUCCUCUGGAAUAACUGGGAUGAGGAAUUACUUCACAAAGACACAAACGGGCAGAAUUCAAAGGGAAAAUAAAGAAGCUCCUUUGUGUGUCCAGAUGUUUCUGCAGCUGCAGAGUCCUAGGAGAUGCUCCUUGUCCUGCUAAAGAGGACAAGGAAUUCAGGACAAAAACCUGGAUCCAGGGAAGAGCUGGUGCUGUGCCUGCUGCCCAUGUUUUAUUGUUAGGAGUGGAGCUGGCCUGGAUUUCUCCUGCUCCUCAUGGCAGCUCCCAGAGGUCUCCCACAGCAGAGGGAAAAUCUCCAUGGACCUGCCGGAGUGGGGACACCACGACAGGAGGUGCUGGAGUGGGAUUAACAACAGGAGAACCUCCUGGAGAUGGGAUUUGUUCACAGGAGGCUGCAGCUCCCAACAAAAUUCCUGAGUGGUUCUGGAAAGCAAAGUCAGGUUCACAGAACACCUUCAAACAAACCCUGAGGAGGUAAAAACAGAGCUCUUAUGCUUUUUGGCUUCCAUCCCUUCCUUUUUCUGCCUCUUUUCCCGGUUCUCAGGUGUUUCUGGGCAUUGUCCAGCAAUUCAUUCCUCACAUCUGUUCAUGGUUCAUCCAUGUUCCUUCCUUUUCCUCUUGCACUCCCUUCCCUUUUUAUAUUUUGCUCCAUUUUCCCCCUCAGUUUCUGAUUCUGCUUCCAGCUGAUUCCCUUUUUUACUCUAUAUUGAUUAUUUUUUUCCCUAGGCUUGCUCUAUCCAGGAUUUGGUAUCGAUUUCCAUGGAGUUCCCUCCUCUUCUGGAAUUGUUUGCUCCCUCUUCCCCAGAAGUCAGCUUUUCAAAUUCCUUAGAAACACCA